ACUCAAAGGAAUAGACGGGGACCCGCACAAGCGGUGGAGCAUGUGGUUUAAUUCGAAGCAACGCGAAGAACCUUACCUGGGCUUGACAUCCCUCUGACCGCACCUUAAUCGGUGCUUCCCUUCGGGGCGGAGGUGACAGGUGGUGCAUGGUUGUCGUCAGCUCGUGUCGUGAGAUGUUGGGUUAAGUCCCGCAACGAGCGCAACCCUUAUCCUUAGUAGCCAGCAUUAAGUUGGGCACUCUAGGGAGACUGCCGGGGAUAACCCGGAGGAAGGUGGGGAUGACGUCAAAUCAUCAUGCCCCUUAUGUCCAGGGCUACACACGUGCUACAAUGGCGUAAACAAAGGGACGCAACCCAGCGAUGGCAAGCAAAUCCCAAAAAUAACGUCUCAGUUCGGAUUGUAGUCUGCAACCCGACUACAUGAAGCCGGAAUCGCUAGUAAUCGUGAAUCAGCAUGUCGCGGUGAAUACGUUCCCGGGUCUUGUACACACCGCCCGU
rnacentral:rRNA from 1 species